rnacentral:lncRNA from 1 species
GCCCUCUAGUAAGGGUAAGGAUAUCGUACCCGAGGACCAGGAGUAGGAGUACUCCCAUUAUAGUGAGUAAUUAGACGAUCAUCUUAACUAUCUAAAGUAGUUUAUACUCAUUUUUUAUGAUUUUAAAGAAUAAUGAACUUAAAUUGUAAACUAUUAUGUUUUAUAACUAAAGUGUUGGUUAAAUGAAAUGAGAUUCAUAAUUUGGUUUGAAAUUGAAUCCUGGUUUUGGAAAUUGAGUAAGUGGAGACUAUAUACUUGUGUUAUAUAUAUGUUUUGACUAUUGUUAGUUAUGCUGACCUUGCUUUGUAAUAAAUGUAUCGGCAUAACGGGAUUUAUAAUUGACAUAUGGUUUGAAUUGAUGGCUUAUGACAAUGUGAUGACAUGAAUGGCUGGUUUUGUGUUUUUGUGGAAUAUAUGAAUUGUUUUGUUUUACCCUGAUAGGCUGGGUAAUAUUACAUUAGCCAUGUCAUGCUACCGAAAUUUUUAUUGAUUUGGUGGAGUAAUUGAUUAGCUUACUGCAGUGGGCGGGUUUCCGUAGAUUGACUUAUUAGAGGGGCACGGUAAAUCCCGUCAUAUUUUACCUUAGUAUGAGGGGCGCAGAGGGUAUCUCCUAAGGUAGUUUAGAGUUCACUUCAUGUCGAACCACCACGUGAGAGUGAAACUCAGCCAACGUCAAGGAACGACUAUGUUUUUAAAGUAAAAAAAAAAACAUGUUUUAUGUGUGUAUGUUAUUUUAACAGCCUUGACGGACUCGGUUGGAAGCCCGGUGCAAUGUGUCAUCGAAUACGAGUUUUGGCACGAGUCAAGUUUUAAAAGAGUCAUAAGCCUUGUUGAUUAUUUUUGAUGAAAUGCAAUUGUUUUAUAUGGUUGAAAUGAGUUUUAAUGUUAUGAAUUAUAUUAUGAAGAGAUGUUUUAAUUGUCUCCAUUUACUCGACUUUAGAUGUUAUAGAUGAACUUUGCUUACUCACUGGGUUUAUAAAAACUCAUCCCCUUCUUUUCACCCAUUUCAGGUUCAGAGCAGUUUGUAGACAGUCGAUUUUGUCGAGGGUUUGCUUUUGGAUUUGCACCCUUAGAAAUCGUAGGUCUACAGUCUUAUUUAUUUUUGUUAUUUUGGGGCUCACAUGUCAUUGUAAAAUAUUUUUGUAUACC